rnacentral:rRNA from 1 species
GAUGAACGCUGGCGGCGUGCCUAAUACAUGCAAGUCGAACGCUGGAAAUCUAGCUUGCUAGAUUGAAGGAGUGGCGAACGGGUGAGUAAUACAUAAGCAACCUACCCACGAAGACUGGGAUAAUCUCUGGAAACGGGGACUAAUACCGGAUAGGUAAUCGGAAGGCAUCUUCUGAUUAUUAAAGGUUAAAAACACUGGUGGAUGGGCUUAUGGCGCAUUAGUUAGUUGGUGAGGUAACGGCCCACCAAGACGAUGAUGCAUAGCCGGCCCGAGAGGGUGAACGGCCACAUUGGGACUGGGACAAGGCCCCGACGGCUACGGGAGGCAGCAGUAGGGAAUUUUCGGCAAUGGGGGAAACCCUGACCGAGCAACGCCGCGUGAGUGAUGACGGCCUUCGGGUUGUAAAGCUCUGUUGUAAGGGAAGAACGGUAGAUAGAGAAUAUCUAAAUGACGGUACCUUACCAGAAAGCCACGGCUAACUACGU